GAAUCAAAUAUAUGAUUUUUUAAAUUUCUGCUAUAAAAAUGUUCUGCUAUAAAGUGCUCGAAUCGCCAAUGUAAGCGACCUGACCUGUCUUUCUUCAAGUUCCCCACUAAAGACGAAAGAUGUCGACAAUGGGUCCAGAACACUCGUUGACAAGAUCUCCUACACCGAACUACGUACUUUUCAAAGAAUUGCCGUCUUUGUUCUGAACACCUUGUAUAUCUCACACAUAAAACAAUGUAAAUUGUGUAAAUCUUACCAUAAAUGACAGAAAUAAAAAGUGUUAUCCUUG